CGUUGGGAGCUCACCCAUAUGGUCGACCUGCAGGCGGCCGCGAAUUCACUAGUGAUUCGUAUUACCGCGGCUGCUGGCACGGAGUUAACCGGAGCUUAUUCUCCCGGUACUGUCAUUAUCAUCCCGGGUAAAAGAGCUUUACAACCCUAAGGCCUUCAUCACUCACGCGGCAUUGCUGGAUCAGGCUUUCGCCCAUUGUCCAAUAUUCCCCACUGCUGCCUCCCGUAGGAGUCUGGGCCGUGUCUCAGUCCCAGUGUGGCUGGUCACCCUCUCAGGCCGGCUACCCGUCAAAGCCUUGGUAAGCCACUACCCCACCAACAAGCUGAUAAGCCGCGAGUCCAUCCCCAACCGCCGAAACUUUCCAACCCCCACCAUGCAGCAGGAGCUCCUAUCCGGUAUUAGCCCCAGUUUCCUGAAGUUAUCCCAAAGUCAAGGGCAGGUUACUCACGUGUUACUCACCCGCUCGCCACUCGAGCACCCCACAAAAGCAGGGCCUUUCCGUUCGACUUGCAUGUGUUAAGCACGCCCCCAGCGUUCGUCCUGAGCCAUGAUCAAACUCUAAUCGAAUUCCCGCGGCCGCCAUGGCGGCCGGAAGCAUGCGAC
rnacentral:rRNA from 1 species